GAGUGUUACAGCUCUUUCAGAAUUUGUCUAGUAGGCUUUCCAGUUUAUGUCGAAGAGCCCCU
ensembl:snRNA U7 U7 small nuclear RNA